CUCCUGUGAGGCUUGUUCAGAUCAGAAAGUGCAGGCAGCUGGAGAGGCUGCAGAGCACUGGAGAAAUGUUUAAUAGAAGGAAAACCACACUGACCACCCUCACAGCCACUUCACAAUGCUAAGUGUCAUUGAAACUGCUGAAAUAUCUUUUUCCCCCCCAGACUUUGAUGAAUCUUGAACUCAAGUUUCAAGAACAUAAAACAAGGCUAAAAGAAAAAUAAGCAAACAGAAAAUCCCCAUCACAACAAGAGGAACUGGACAACAAGCAAAAAGCAUUCUUACAUACAAAGUUUUCUAGAGUUAUGCCUCUUGAAAGAAAUCAGUUUCACCCAAAGUGUCUUUUCAUAAUAAACCAUGUGCAGCUGAUGGUCUACAA